rnacentral:rRNA from 1 species
AGCUUCUGUAUUAUCAAGCUGCCCCUUGAUAAUCUCGUCUGAUCUCAGAAGCUAAGGAGGUUUGGGUCUAGUUGGCAUUUGGAUGGUAGAACACCUGAGAAGUUAGGUACAGUAUAUU